UCCGCACUGGUUGCAAAGGCAGAAUCACAUGCCGAUAACAGGCUAAAAGUUAAAGCAUCGUUAUUUUUUCAUUUAUUCUUUUUCAGUUGAUACUUCUCCAAGUCUUGGGUCAGAAUCAGAAUCCUAUGGGCAGAUAAUUAUAAACUUGAAUGACAAUGCUAAUGGUGAACUGGUGUUAUCUCCCUUGUCACAACCAGUACCUGAAAACCAGACAGAUCCAUUCCUGUUUGUAACACGGUUUGGUGGAACUUUUGGUCAGGUCGCCGUCUCAGUAACUGUAACUGAUGGAACGGCAAGAGAAGGUCUGGAUUAUGUUCUCUUGUCUUCACAAGUAGUACUAGAGAGGGGUCAGAAGUCAGCUGCUGUACCAUUACGUAUCUUAGAUGAUACAGUACCAGAAUUUUCAGAGACAUUUACAGUCCGGUUAGACCAGGUGUUCGGAGGUGGGGUACUUGGCACAGUGACCAGUGCCACUGUUAUUAUUGAUGAGUCAGAUGAUCCUAAUGGAGUUUUUGAAUUCUCUGUGGAAGGUAUAUCUGUGGAGGAACCUGAGAAUGAAAUACUAGAUGUGGAAAUAACUGUACAGAGGACUGGUGGAACAUCAGGGGUGAUUACAUUAAACUGGGAGGCCACAUUUGAU